GGGUUGUGGCUCAGCGGUGGAGUGCUUAACUAGCACGUGUGAGGCCCUGGGUUCGAUUCUCAGCACCCA
rnacentral:tRNA from 1 species